CCCGUUCGCAAAAUGUCCCUUAACGACUCUCGGCAACGGAUAUCUCGGCUCUCGCAUCGAUGAAGAACGUAGCGAAAUGCGAUACUUGGUGUGAAUUGCAGAAUCCCGCGAACCAUCGAGUUUUUGAACGCAAGUUGCGCCCGAAGCCUUCGGGCCGA
rnacentral:rRNA from 1 species